AAUGGAGCGGGAAGCAGGACAAAUGAGGCCCGGCCCGCGCGGCCGACAGGCCCCUCCAUCUUCCCAUUAGCGCCUAAUGGCCCCCCCGCCGCCGCCUGAUGAAGAUUUAUCGGCCCCGGAGCCCCCGCCCCCCGGCCCGGCCUCGCCGCACCCGGCCCCCACCGCCCUCCCGCCGCGGACACCUGAUGAAGCCGUCACCGCGGCGGGAGGGGCAGCUGGCGACCUCGACCAACGCUAGGCCGAGACCCUACCGGGCCGCCAGAGUUCUGGGAGCCAGAGAGUCCCUGAGACCCGGAGACCCGAUGGCUAGGGAGCCCCAACAGUCAGCCGGACCCCUAGGCGGAAGAGCGAAUCGCGCCCCAUCCAUCAACAGGCUCGAAGCCUCCCUAAUAAAAACAUUUUACUCCUAAA